UUUCUUCUAUUCUUUUCUCUCUGUACGUUGGUGUUUCAACCAAUAAUCACCGAAGCGAUAUUCUAUCCGAUCGAUUCAGGAACCAACUAACGAAUGCCAAAGUGUUGUACUUUGUGAAUUUCGGUAAACGGAAUCCAAAGUGCUAUACUUUGUGAGUUCAAUAAAUGGAUGCCUAAGUACUGUCUGAAUAAGACUAUACUUUGUGAAAUUCGUUAAGGUUCGAAUCUCGUGAUCAUCGUUAGGUUUGAUAUGGUUUUACAGAAAUACGUAUUCCGUUCUGUUAAACUAUAUGUUUAACCAUCUGAAUACUCCCAACUAUACGCUUACAAUCAAAAUGGAUGCUUAAUCAUCAGAAGAACCAAAAUAAUAAAGUAUAUGCUUAACUAUCAGAAGGAGUAGAAUUAAGAAGCUUGUUAAUUCAAUACUGCAUGCUUAUAAUGGAUUAAGUUUUUGUAGUCUUCAAUUACAGCCAGUAUGUGGGGUAUUGUGCACAUUACUGCUGUUUUAUCACUUUAGGUGGGCGAGCCUAAAAUUUGUGAUAUUCGUCACUAUUGGGUGACAGGACCCAAUAGUGGUAUGACCACAGUCACAGAAACGAGUCGAGUGACAAAUACUGUGGGUAGUUGGUUAACAUAUAAACAUUGUAAUCUCCCUUAAUACUGUAAAUUAUAACAACGUGUCAUUUUAUUUAAAAUGAAUGAUUCACUCAGUAUUUCCUGCUGACAAAACUUUUUUAAAAACGCGUUUCAGGUAAUUACAGUAGAUUGGAGUAAGAGUUGGAUGCGGCACUAAAAGGCACAAAGAAGUGGCUUAUUUUAUUAAAUUAAAUCAAAUUAAGAAAUAUUGUUUUAUAUAAUUGGGAUCAUCCCUUAUUAAAGCUACCUUUGUAAAACAUGGGUUUUAUCCCAUCUAUUUAAUAAAUAAAAUCCAGUGUUUCUAAACUCUGAUAUUUUUCCUAACUCACGGUCCUGAUGAAAUUUCCGCUGCAAUGUUUUCAAAAAUAAACCACCGGUACCACGGGCUGCUCACGGCUCCCGAUUCCGUCAAGGGUGGGGUCGGGGGUCGUGACAGAAAUGUGGUAUCAGAGCCACUGCUUUAAGCCUAUAGGUGUUGUGAUAAUAAUACCUAAGCUUAAAUAAAAGAGUUAGGAAAUUGCUAUUUACUGGUAGCACACAUAAUAACAUUUAGACUUAAACCUAAGAAAAGAUGCCUUAGUAUAGCUAAGCCACUUAUUUAAUCAAUUAAGUAUUGUAAUAAUACCUAAGUUUAAACGGAGAGUUAGGAACUUAAUAUUAUCUGAUAGCACUCCGGAUGAUAUUUAGACUUGAACUCAAGAAUUUUGCCUUAAUAUAAGCUUCAAGAUAAAUUACUUAUAUAAGUAUAAUGUGAUGAAUAUUGGUAUGCCAUAAGAAUGACGAUUAGCAGGCAAUAGCACUUAGUUGCUAUUUAUUCUUGUUUAUUGAUAUUACUUGGUCUAGAAUAAAGCUAUGUUAUGGAAAUAUAAAUUUCCUUGAUUCUGGAUAAAAGCCCUAAUAAAAGAGGCACUUUUAAAAUCUUGAAAAAGAUACUAUUUAUGGGAAAUCGAAAAUUUUGUCCGGCAAAAAUGGGUAUGGUGUAGCAGACUCUCCAGCUUGUCCGGAUAUACUGAGAUUACCUCUCCGGCGCGAAACGGAUAAGACGGGGUAAAUAAUAUGUCAAACAAGUGACAAGAUUUCCCUAAAUAAUAUCAUGACCUGAUAUUUGAUUUGUUUUUGGAAAUAUGAAUCUGUUAAAUACAUUGACUUUAUAGAAGGUAUGUAUAUUACAGCAUGUGAAAUAUACAACUAUAUAGAUAUGUAUAUCUAUAAGAAUUCCAAAAGUCAAUUAAGAAUAAAGCACAAGCAUAUAUGUCAAUAAUAAAUCUAGAUUUCUUUAUCAGGAAUCUCUUGCAUAUAUCUAUAAUUCCGAUAUCAAACAUUAUUUCGUUU
rnacentral:lncRNA from 1 species